GCCUAGCCCUAAACAUAAAUAAUUACAAAAACAAAAUUAUUCGCCAGAGUACUACCGGCAACAGCCCGAAACUCAAAGGACUUGGCGGUGCUUUAUACCCUUCUAGAGGAGCCUGUUCUAUAAUCGAUAAACCCCGAUAAACCUCUCCAAUCCUUGCUAAUACAGUCUAUAUACCGCCAUCUUCAGCAAACCCUAAAAAGGAACAAAAGUAAGCUCAAUCACAACACAUAAAGACGUUAGGUCAAGGUGUAACCCAUGGAAUGGGAAGAAAUGGGCUACAUUUUCUACCUUAAGAAAAUUAAUACGAAAGCCAUUAUGAAAUUAAUGACCAAAGGAGGAUUUAGUAGUAAACUAAGAAUAGAGUGCUUAGUUGAUUUAGGCCAUGAAGCAUUA
rnacentral:rRNA from 1 species